rnacentral:rRNA from 1 species
UAGGGAAUCUUCGGCAAUGGGGGGAACCCUGACCGAGCAACGCCGCGUGAGUGAAGAAGGUUUUCGGAUCGUAAAGCUCUGUUGUUAAGGAAGAACGAGUGUGAAAAUGGAAAGUUCAUACUGUGACGGUACUUAACCAGAAAGGGACGGCUAACUACGUGCCAGCAGCCGCGGUAAUACGUAGGUCCCGAGCGUUGUCCGGAUUUAUUGGGCGUAAAGCGAGCGCAGGCGGUUAGAAAAGUCUGAAGUGAAAGGCAGUGGCUCAACCAUUGUAGGCUUUGGAAACUGUUUAACUUGAGUGCAGAAGGGGAGAGUGGAAUUCCAUGUGUAGCGGUGAAAUGCGUAGAUAUAUGGAGGAACACCGGUGGCGAAAGCGGCUCUCUGGUCUGUAACUGACGCUGAGGCUCGAAAGCGUGGGGAGCGAACAGGAUUAGAUGCCCUGGUAGUCCACGCCGUAAACGAUGAGUGCUAGGUGUUAGGUCCUUUCCGGGACUUAGUGCCGCAGCUAACGCAUUAAGCACUCCGCCUGGGGAGUACGACCGCAAGGUUG